GGAAAAAUAGUUUAAGUUUUUGCAAACAUAACACUGAAAAUGUUAAAAUGACAUAGUCUUUAUCCA
rnacentral:tRNA from 1 species